GACGAACGCUGGCGGCGUGCCUAAUACAUGCAAGUUGAGCGCUGAAGGUUGGUACUUGUACCAACUGGAUGAGCAGCGAACGGGUGAGUAACGCGUGGGUAAUCUGCCUUUGAGCGGGGGACAACAUUUGGAAACGAACGCUAAUACCGCAUAAAAACUUUAAACACAAGUUUUAAGAUUGAAAGAUGCAAUUGCAUCACUCAAAGAUGAUCCCGCGUUGUAUUAGCUCGUUGGUGAGGUAAAGGCUCACCAAGGCGAUGAUACAUAGCCGACCUGAGAGGGUGAUCGGCCACAUUGGGACUGUGACACGGCCCAAACUCCUACGGGGGGCAGCAGUAGGGAAUCUUCGGCGAUGGACGAAAGUCUGACCGAGCGACGCCGCGUGAGUGAAGAAGGGUUUCGGAUCGUAAAACUCUGUUGGUAGAGAAGAACGUUGGUGAGAGUGGAAAGCUCAUCAAGUUACGGUAACUACCCAGAAAGGGACGGCUAACUACGUG
rnacentral:rRNA from 1 species